rnacentral:rRNA from 2 species
GCCGGGGGGGCGUGUCUAUACAUGCAGUCGAGCGGACAGAAGGGAGCUUGCUCCCGGAUGUUAGCGGCGGACGGGUGAGUAACACGUGGGUAACCUGCCUGUAAGACUGGGAUAACUCCGGGAAACCGGAGCUAAUACCGGAUAGUUCCUUGAACCGCAUGGUUCAAGGAUGAAAGACGGUUUCGGCUGUCACUUACAGAUGGACCCGCGGCGCAUUAGCUAGUUGGUGGGGUAMUGGCUCACCMAKGCGACGAUGCGUAGCCGACCUGAGAGGGURAUCGGYCACACUGGGACUGAGACWCGGCCCAGACUCCUACGGGAGGCAGCAGUAGGGAAUCUUCCGCAAUGGACGAAAGUCUGACGGAGCAACGCCGCGUGAGUGAUGAAGGUUUUCGGAUCGUAAAGCUCUGUUGUUAGGGAAGAACAAGUGCGAGAGUAACUGCUCGCACCUUGACGGUACCUAACCAGAAAGCCACGGCUAACUACGUGCCAGCAGCCGCGGUAAUACGUAGGUGGCAAGCGUUGUCCGGAAUUAUUGGGCGUAAAGGGCUCGCAGGCGGUUUCUUAAGUCUGAUGUGAAAGCCCCCGGCUCAACCGGGGAGGGUCAUUGGAAACUGGGAAACUUGAGUGCAGAAGAGGAGAGUGGAAUUCCACGUGUAGCGGUGAAAUGCGUAGAGAUGUGGAGGAACACCAGUGGCGAAGGCGACUCUCUGGUCUGUAACUGACGCUGAGGAGCGAAAGCGUGGGGAGCGAACAGGAUUAGAUACCCUGGUAGUCCACGCCGUAAACGAUGAGUGCUAAGUGUUAGGGGGUUUCCGCCCCUUAGUGCUGCAGCUAACGCAUUAAGCACUCCGCCUGGGGAGUACGGUCGCAAGACUGAAACUCAAAGGAAUUGACGGGGGCCCGCACAAGCGGUGGAGCAUGUGGUUUAAUUCGAAGCAACGCGAAGAACCUUACCAGGUCUUGACAUCCUCUGACAACCCUAGAGAUAGGGCUUUCCCUUCGGGGACAGAGUGACAGGUGGUGCAUGGUUGUCGUCAGCUCGUGUCGUGAGAUGUUGGGUUAAGUCCCGCAACGAGCGCAACCCUUGAUCUUAGUUGCCAGCAUUCAGUUGSGCACUCUAAGGUGACUGCCGGUGACMAACCSGAGGAAGGUGGGGAUGACGUCRAAUCAUCAUGCCCCUUAUGACCUGGGCUACACACGUGCUACAAUGGACAGAACAAAGGGCUGCAAGACCGCAAGGUUUAGCCAAUCCCAUAAAUCUGUUCUCAGUUCGGAUCGCAGUCUGCAACUCGACUGCGUGAAGCUGGAAUCGCUAGUAAUCGCGGAUCAGCAUGCCGCGGUGAAUACGUUCCCGGGCCUUGUACACACCGCCCGUCA